rnacentral:rRNA from 1 species
AUUGAACGCUGGCGGCAUGCCUUACACAUGCAAGUCGAACGGUAACAGGUCUUCGGAUGCUGACGAGUGGCGAACGGGUGAGUAAUACAUCGGAACGUGCCCGAUCGUGGGGGAUAACGAGGCGAAAGCUUUGCUAAUACCGCAUACGAUCUACGGAUGAAAGCGGGGGAUCUUCGGACCUCGCGCGGACGGAGCGGCCGAUGGCAGAUUAGGUAGUUGGUGGGAUAAAAGCUUACCAAGCCGACGAUCUGUAGCUGGUCUGAGAGGAUGAUCAGCCACACUGGGACUGAGACACGGCCCCGACUCCUACGGGAGGCAGCAGUGGGGAAUUUUGGACAAUGGGCGAAAGCCUGAUCCAGCCAUGCCGCGUGCAGGAUGAAGGCCUUUGGGUUGUAAACUGCUUUUGUACGGAACGAAAAGCCUCUUUCUAAUAAAGAGGGGUCAUGACGGUACCGUAAGAAUAAGCACCGGCUAACUACGU